CUUAACACAUGCAAGUCGAACGAUGAAGCCUAGCUUGCUAGGUGGAUUAGUGGCGAACGGGUGAGUAAUACGUGAGUAACCUACCUUUAACUCUGUGAUAAGCCUAGGAAACUGGGUCUAAUACCGGAUACGACCAAUCUCCGCAUGGGGUGUUGGUGGAAAGCGUUAUGUAGUGGUUAUAGAUGGGCUCACGGCCUAUCAGCUUGUUGGUGAGGUAACGGCUCACCAAGGCGACGACGGGUAGCCGGCCUGAGAGGGUGACCGGCCACACUGGGACUGAGACACGGCCCAGACUCCUACGGGAGGCAGCAGUGGGGAAUAUUGCACAAUGGGCGCAAGCCUGAUGCAGCGACGCCGCGUGAGGGAUGACGGCCUUCGGGUUGUAAACCUCUGUUAGCAGGGAAGAAGAGAGAUUGACGGUACCUGCAGAGAAAGCGCCGGCUAACUACGUGCCAGCAGCCGCGGUAAUACGUAGGGCGCGAGCGUUGUCCGGAAUUAUUGGGCGUAAAGAGCUUGUAGGCGGUUUGUCGCGUCUGCUGUGAAAGGCCGGGGCUUAACCCCGUGUAUUGCAGUGGGUACGGGCAGACUAGAGUGCAGUAGGGGAGACUGGAAUUCCUGGUGUAGCGGUGGAAUGCGCAGAUAUCAGGAGGAACACCGAUGGCGAAGGCAGGUCUCUGGGCUGUAACUGACGCUGAGAAGCGAAAGCAUGGGGAGCGAACAGGAUUAGAUACCCUGGUAGUCCAUGCCGUAAGCGUUGGGCACUAGGUGUGGGGGACAUUCCACGUUUUCCGCGCCGUAGCUAACGCAUUAAGUGCCCCGCCUGGGGAGUACNGCCGCAAGGCUAAAACUCAAAGAAAUUGACGGGGGCCCGC
rnacentral:rRNA from 1 species